UUAUUGUAUUAGAACACUUAUUCUUAUUUGCACAAAAUGAACAUUUAUUGAAAUUUGUAUUAUGAACUGCACACUCAAACACCAAAUUUAUAUAUAUCUUUCCACAACGACAAGGUAGAUAUUUUAUCACUUAUAACCAUAUACUUCUCAAUACAAUAUUACUACACGUAGCCUUUAAAAUAAUUAUUCAAUUUGCGGCGUCCAAAUGUCACCAAUACAAACUGACAGGUUAUACAGGUUAGAAAUGACUACUGUCAGAAAUACAAACUGACAAGAUAUACAGGUUAGAAAUGAACGAGCCGCGUGAGCGGCAGCCAUAUUACAAUUCCGGCCGACGAGCCCUGCCGAAUGAUUCCGAGAGUCGACGAACACCCUUAUUGGCUCGUAUUGGCUAAGUAUUGACGAAAAAUCGACUGGAAAAGUAUAAGGCUGCGCAGGAGCUAAACUAGCGCCACCAACGAAGAGCAACGGAGAAUAGGGGAAGUAAACCUAUCGACUUAUCAAGAGUUUGUUUCGAAAAUUUGCAAAAAAAAAAAUUUGUUCCUUAAAAACAUAUUUUUAUCAUAUUUUAAAAGUGAAAUUGCAAAAUCGGGCGUUAGAGUGGCAUGCGGAGUGAUAUAAAGAAUAUUUUAGAAAAAGAAUCGUGAGAAAAUAUUGCUUCUUCGCUUCAAAAAACUUGAUGAGCUUCGUUGCUGUGAAAUCUUGAUGAUUUGUAUGGCAAUAUGGUUGCUCCGCUAUCACGCUGUCCACGGCAGCGCUGCUGUCGUCUCUGCUGCGGUUGUUACGCUAGUAGUCUAAGACGCUUUUCAUCAUGGUUCAGUAUCGUAGUAAGUUUAAAAAAUGCCCGCGGUCAUACAUUUUUCUUUUAAGUAAGUGUGUAUAUAUAUAUAGAAAUUGGGAAAAAACAUUAUGUACGUGUAAACUAACUUGGAUUGAUUACAAUAGAUUGAAAAAAUUGUCUUUUGUGAUGAUGAAAAAAGUAGGUAUAGCUAGUAUGAACGUAAUAAGAUAGACAAAAGCAUACGCAUAAUGAAAUAUAAGUCUUAUUGAAAGAGAAUAAAUGGUAAAAGUGUAGUAGUAAAAUGCACCUUUACGAUAAUUGUAAAUGAUUGUAAUAAAUGCUUUGCGAAGUA